rnacentral:pre_miRNA from 1 species
UGGCGUCAUGUUGGCACUCAAAAAGUUUCAAAUUCUAGAGCAUUUUGGAUUUUGGAUUUUUGGAUUAGGGAUGCUC